AGAGUUUGAUCCUGGCUCAGGACGAACGCUGGCGGCGUGCCUAAUACAUGCAAGUCGAGCGGAAUGAUGAAGAAGCUUGCUUCUUCUGAUUUUAGCGGCGGACGGGUGAGUAACACGUGGGCAACCUACCUUGUAGAUUGGGAUAACUCCGGGAAACCGGGGCUAAUACCGAAUAAUCCAUUUUGCUUCAUGGCAAGAUGUUGAAAGGCGGCUUCGGCUGUCACUACGAGAUGGGCCCGCGGCGUAUUAGCUAGUUGGUAGGGUAAUGGCCUACCAAGGCGACGAUACGUAGCCGACCUGAGAGGGUGAUCGGCCACACUGGGACUGAGACACGGCCCAGACUCCUACGGGAGGCAGCAGUAGGGAAUCUUCCACAAUGGACGAAAGUCUGAUGGAGCAACGCCGCGUGAGUGAAGAAGGUUUUCGGAUCGUAAAACUCUGUUGUAAGGGAAGAACACGUACGAGAGUAACUGCUCGUACCUGACGGUACCUAUAGAA
rnacentral:rRNA from 1 species